rnacentral:rRNA from 1 species
UGUGACUGCGUACCUUUUGUAUAAUGGGUCAGCGACUUAUAUUCUGUAGCAAGGUUAACCGUAUAGGGGAGCCGAAGGGAAACCGAGUCUUAACCGGGCGUUAAGUUGCAGGGUAUAGACCCGAAACCCGGUGAUCUAGCCAUGGGCAGGUUGAAGGUUGGGUAACACUAACUGGAGGACCGAACCGACUAAUGUUGAAAAAUUAGCGGAUGACCUGUGGCUGGGGGUGAAAGGCCAAUCAAACCGGGAGAUAGCUGGUUCUCCCCGAAAGCUAUUUAGGUAGCGCCUCGUGAAUUCAUCUCCGGGGGUAGAGCACUGUUUCGGCUAGGGGGCCAUCCCGGCUUACCAACCCGAUGCAAACUGCGAAUACCGGAGAAUGUUAUCACGGGAGACACACGGCGGGUGCUAACGUCCGUCGUGAAGAGGGAAACAACCCAGACCGCCAGCUAAGGUCCCAAAGUCAUGGUUAAGUGGGAAACGAUGUGGGAAGGCCCAGACAGCCAGGAUGUUGGCUUAGAAGCAGCCAUCAUUUAAAGAAAGCGUAAUAGCUCACUGGUCGAGUCGGCCUGCGCG